CAGCUCACUGCAACCUCUGCCUCCUGGGUUCAGCAAUUCUCCUGCCUCAGCUUCCCGAGUAGCUGGGAUUACAGGGCCAUCUUGCUGGCUUGCCACAGGUUAUGUGAUAAUGACUGGGCAUCAUUCAUGGGAAACUGCACUGCGUAAGCAGGCCUGGCUAGGCCCACAGUAGGCCCCGGGCACAUUUUCAGCUGCGAAGCGGAGGACUAGCAACCGGUGAGGUAGAAGGAGAACCAAGAGAUGGUGGGAGAAUGGGAACUGAGCUGAGAGAGCUUCCGGAAGGUUGCGGUGGCCUAGGGCGAUCCACGUCAUUGAGAAACGGCGUUAGGCUGAUUUCACGGGGCAGAUGACAUGGAAGUGCUGCUGAGGAAGACGCUGAGCUCCGAGGUGAAAAGGGAUGAGGACGCCUAAGAAGACACGAGCGCAAUACCUAAUACAAUUUCCUGAAAUUGUUUCAUGUCACACGUUAAAAUAAUAUGAAACACGUUAAAUAAUAAAAUGGUAUGAAGGUUU
rnacentral:lncRNA from 1 species